CUUACUUGGAGCCUGGGGUGGAAGAAAAAGGCAAGGACACUUCUGGCCAGGGCAGAUAAAAGGGCAUUGACUAUAUAUUUAAUUUGUGUUCCUUGCUUGAUUUCUCCUUUCGUUAUCUGCACACCUUGAGCUCAAGCAGACCAGUGCUUCACUUCUGACCGGCAGGCAGCCACCCAAAAACCAGCUUAAUGAAAAUUCUGCAUCUCUGCACUAUUCCCACUGUAUGCUGCUGACGAAGGGCUUGUAUGGCAUUAGGGGCUUCCUGAAACAAAGUAUGAGCAAUACUUCUGCAAUAUUCUUGUUUUCAUUUGGUUAGGCAGCCUGAAGUACCUGGAAAAUGUUUUCUACUAACAUUGCAUCCUUCUAAUACUGGAGUAUAUUUGGGAUAUAGUAACAUCUCCAUAUGGUAUAUAUAAAGAAAUGUGAGCCCACAUAUAAUGCUUUGGUCUCUGUCUGUAAAUACGAACUUUUGGUCAAGCACAUAAAAACCCAAAUGCUUUUUCCAUUUGCUGUAUUCCUGUUACAGAAUAUGUUCAUUUAGCUUAUAAAACUUACAAACCUAGUCUAUGUGUAUUGACACCCAUUAUUACAAUAUUACAGCUUACAUGCAAAUGAAUAGACAUCAUUUCUAGGAAAUUUAAAGUAGCUGAAAUACUAUAUUGAAGUUACCUGUUUUUAUUUUAGACAUUCCCAUUAUUCCUACUCUCACAUUAGACUUUUUAGGAAAACACUUUAAAAUGCUAGGAAAAUGGAAAGAUCUGGCCAUAUUUUCAGAUCAUGCACUAUUAACAACAUUCUGAUGAAGUUCUUUCUAAUGUAUCUGCAUAACAUUUUAUAUUUUUUUAUAUUAGAAUAAGUGAAGAUAAAAACUUCAUAAUGCCACCUACUGCUGAAAAUACACAUUUUAAAGACCUUGCUAGUUUGGAUUCCUUCAAACAAAAGGACAGUGGAAGAAAGUAUCUGUUGGAAUAAGACCUUUCAAACCUCUGAAGUAUGGUGAAGACAAGUCUUGACUUGCCAAGUGCACUUAAGUCACACUGAGUUCUUUAACUUUGAGCCAGUGGCUACUUUGACUGAAGCUCUAAUGAGGAGUGAAUGAGGAGCUGGGAUUUUGACUAGGAGUUUUUUCGCUGUUACAUUUUUAAUGAGAACUUUCACUUUAAAACUAGUCCCUGUGACAUCACUAGAAAAACACUGAUGAAAGGAUUCAGUGAAGCAAAAUGUAUUUUUCACUCCGUGAUGAGACAUCCUCUGUUUCACACAGAACUCUGCAUGAGAUGUAAGCCAAGGACCAAUAGAAUCCGCCUCACAUGUGGCACAUCCCUUCUUACAUCGCACCGUCAUAAGAUGGGCCAUGGAACCCUGCUUGGUUGUUGGCAUAAGAUGGAACCAUGGAAAUACAAGAAAUGGUAGGGUUUUGUACAUGAGUGUGAACAUGUAGAAUAUAGACCCUUAUUAUUCCUGAGGAAAGUUCAACUUUAAAUUUGUCUCUGAGGAAUUAGGAAUGGUUUAUCUACUGCUGGUACUUGUCUCAUCCUGUAGAAUAAACUGACACUGAAAUGCUUUAA